AUAUUUUGAGCUUUUUAAGGCAACCCUUCACCAGCUGAAAUUGCAGAGCAUAACUUAGGCAACAGACAGCUCGAUCUUCAUUAAAGAAAGCAUAACCCUCUGUUACACAAUCCAGGUAGGCAAUGGCACAGAACACUCUUCCCUAUCAACUAUGCGUUUAUUUCGGUAUCUACAUAGAUGAAUAAAUAUGGAUGUAUUUAUACCUACAGAGUAUUCAAACAACAUUCCAAAGCAAAACAAUCCCCUGAAUACAUUUAUAUGCCUGAGCCACAGAAGCUGAUACCAGAUUGAUGUUAAUCACAUUGUUCCAGGCACUGCUUGAAAGCUGGCAGCCCUUGCCAAUGAGAACAUAAACCCACCAUUACUAUCAUCAUGCUGCCUGUACCCACAGAACCCAGUGCAAAGAAUAUAGAACUUAAAAACAACAAACACACUAUUAAACCAGGAAAAAGCUAACUAGGGAUUCCAGUUAGAAAUUUCUACUUUGGAAUUAAUAAUAGAAAGCAUUUAAAUUUUGCUAAAUAUAAAGCUAUUUAAUUUUCUCCUUUUCAGUGGAGAAACAGCAGCAGUAGACAGAAAGUCAAACAAGCUGAACAUCAUGAAGUGUUCCAGUGAAAUACCUGACUUACCAUGUGCAACAAAGACAUUAAUAUAUAGCCUGAGAGGCCAUAUGACUGGAGCAGCAGGAGAGAAAUGAGCACUUAGCAGGAGCAAUGGAAAUGAGAAGAAUGCAGUGAUUUUAGAAGAGUCGAAAGCCACAGUAGAUCCCCAGAGAAGACUGCACAUCUCGUGAUCUCUGAUGGAGGGACAGCACCAACCUCUCAAAAGUUACGUACUUGUAAAAUUUUUACUUUCAUCCUACAUUUCUUCAUCACUAAGGGUUACUCGGCUCCAGAGUUUUAAUCAGUUUGUAAAAGCCUGAUUGGAGAUUUGUGUGGAGUUAGCCUAAGUUCUGAUUUUUCCUAUGACUUGGAAAAAUCCAGCCUAGAUAUUAAAUUCUCACUUUGUCUUCUGUCAGUACUAACAUAUAUACUUGACUGGAAACCAACCAGUUUGGAUGUGGUGCCAUAAGGCACACAAUAAAUUACAGAUCCUCCUCCAAAACUUUGGGAACGCUGAUGCGGUUGCAUAAAAAAAACUUACUUUGGGUUUGCAUCUGCUGCGUUUUAUGUAUUCAAAGGCCAGAUUUCUCCAGCAGGUAAGCUAACAAGGAUGAACUUAAAGGAAAAUAGUGUAUAUUGAGCCAAAAAAAUUAAAUACCCCCAAGCAAAUCUCUUCUAUCUGAACCAAGGCAGAAAAAGAAUCAAAGCACCUUCACUUUUCCUGCUAUCCUGUUCAUUCAGGAGAAUCAGAGAUGCAUAUUUAACAGUUUGCCCUGGAAGUAGCACAUUACUCACUGUUAGUAGAAUUACAAACUAGUAAUGUAGAAACCAAUGAGCAGAACAAAGGAUCUGCUCCUGCUGCAGUGCCUGGGUGUAGCAGUCUCAUCUCAACAUUACCAGAUUAGACUGAUGGGACUUCUGACAUCCAUAUGCAGUAUGGAGAAUGUAACUGCCACUAUUUCAACAUUUCACAACUUUCUUUCAGGUGUCCUUCAUGGUGGACAUGACCUUCCAAAGGUGGAAUGCAGCAGAUGAGGAGGUAGCAAAGAAGUCCAGUUCUACUGUCUUGGCCAAGUUCCAACUUCAGUAAUUACACUCUGCUCUUUAAAUUCCCCCUGCAGCUCUAGUAGAAUAAAGCUCUUUUUCAGCUU